CGCGGCCGAGUAAGGGACGGGGCCUCGAUCGCGUUGGCGGGCAUGGAAAGGGUGACGCCCCUGAGCACGGCGGCGGGCGCCGAAGGGUCGAUGGCCUCGAUUGCAACUGCGGGGAAGCUAUCUCCGGCUCUAGAUCAGGAAUUCAGUAGGCCGAUGCAGGCGGGGGCAUGACGGAGUCGGAUGUUGACAAGACUCAAGGCUGGUCGGAUGGAGGAGCUGGUGCUCAAGAGGUGGUUGGAGCUCGAGAACAUGCAGGGGCAUGCAUGUUGAGCACAGUGCCUGAGAAAUCCAUUGCGUGGAUUAGUGUUUGGACACGUUGGUGUUGGCAACAGUAGUGAUGAUCGUGGUUCCCAGGACAGGUUCAUUUUUUCAGACAAACAGAAAAUUUCCCAAGCUGCUUGCGGAUGGAGACAUACACUUACCCUUUCUGAAAAGGGAAGAUAUUUUCUUCUAGGAAGGGGUAGUACUAGGAUGCUGGGCAGUGGUGAAAUAUUUUACAGGAAUAUGCCUGGGCUGUUGCCUUCAGCCAGAUGGUUCUGGCUGCAAGAAGUUAAACUCAUCCAUGUCAACUCCAUUCGCAGAUUAGGAUAUCACAAGGCCAGUGAGGGCAGAGUGGAGCAUGGCAGAGGUGGCGGGGUCGGUACAGGUGUGGUUGAAUCAGAAACACUCACACAUGUGCGGGUGAAUUUGAAAUGACAGGAUAUGCUGCCCAUACCCAGGUCGAGCAAGAAUUGAGAUCAAUAUUUUAUGAAAGAGAAAGAAGGGACAAAGUUAUAUAUAACAACUUGGAUAUACAUUUUUUGUUAGCUUGAAUGCUUUUCCAAGUAAUUUUUGUAUGUAAGUAUAUAUAUUUUUCCCGUUGAAACUAGCUUUUCCCGUGAAAUUCCCCAACCAAUUUUACUCCCCCUCA